ACCCAGCCCACGGUUUAAGGACCUUGAACUGCAGUCUCAGAAUCCCACAGCAAACCCAACCCAACAUUGUCUGGAGCAUCCAGACACAUUUGCAGACAUUUGCCUUUCCAAGCUGCACGCAUGGUAUAGCUCACACGGAUGAUCUGGAAACACUCUUACAAACUCUCCUCAUAGCUGGAAGUGAAUGGAAACAAAAGAAAAUAAAUCUUUCUCAAGAAAAACUAUGCUGUUCCAUCUGCUAAGGAGCACUUUGCUCCUUAUGGCUAGUUAAAAUACUGUGUAGUCCUUUACAAAGACUUUUGCAGAUGAUGUUAUAUCACUUUAUACUGCCUCUGCAGUAAUGUUUUCCAAACUCAGCUGCCCAUAAAUUCUAAAAUAAUUCUUAACUGCACAAAUAUUUUAAUCUGUGUAAACACUUAAUUUGACAUAAGUGAAAAGGUGUGCAUCCAGCUAGAACUAUUGCAAUAUACUUGGAUUCCUGACUAGGCUCAGUUUCCUCUCAAGUAAAUAAACUUUCAUAGUCCAUCACUGCAAUAACAGUUUAAAAAUGUCUAAAGUUUAUGCCUUACAUGGGCCUCUAAAAAAUAUCAAAACAUUCAAAGGUUCAGACAUUUAUACUUUGGCAAUUAAUGUUGCAAUUAUAUUGCAUUGUAUCUUACUAUAUUAUGCAUCUCAAAUAUAACUUGGGACGUACCUUCAAUGUUUAUUUUUGUAUGCCUGUUUUAGUUUUCUGUGUUGCAUAACAUUUUCUUUUCCUUCCUGCUUUUCAUCUACUUUUUGUUCCCCAGUAACUGAUGCACUGCUGUUUGUCUUGGGUUGCAAUAGAGGAUGUGACCAGAAAUGUGUAUUCUAUCACCAUCUGUGGAAGCCCGGUGGGGUAGUGACUCUUAUCUCCAUGGCACAUACUAUCUGCUAAUGGUCCAUCUUUAAGACAGGGUGGGGCAAUCAUCUUUAUCUUUUCCACAACCCAUCCUCCCUUCAGGAAGACAUCAUCUGCUGCUGACCCAUUAAAUCCCACUGUAUGACUGAUAAAAUUACAUCAUCCCAUUGGGAGAUGCUCCAGCCAGGGGAAGGAGCUGAGCCUUUCCUACUUAGAUAAAAUCUGAGAUUUUGAACAGCAAAUUAUCCAUCUUUCCACUGGAUUCCAGAGGAAAACCUGAGCUUUCCACAUCAUCCCUGGACCUUCAGAGGAAAACUGCACCUUCUACAGGAGCACUGCUUCAGCUGAACCACACCUGCCCCCCCCCCCCCCCCCCCCCCCCCCCCCCCCCCC
rnacentral:lncRNA from 1 species